CAGGCUUCUGGGAAAUGGGGUUUCUCUGCUUCCCUCUUUGCUGCCCCUUUCGUGGCGCUCCUGCUCGUGAGUUGGAAGUUAAAGGUGGGGAAAAGGCCUCCUGUGUAGGACAUAACACCCCCGGUCAGGCUGCAGGGGGUCUAGGUCGGGGCGGGCAAUUAUCUCAGGUGGAGGGCUGCUUACUGAGUUUUGGCAAGCCACCGGGUGCCACACGACAGGCAGCCAGGGGCAGAUAAAUAUUAAUUUUCUAAAUUUUUUAGGCGCCCCGCGGGCCGGAUAGACUGGCCUGGUGGGCUGCAUCUGGCCCCUGGGCCACAUUUUGCCCACCCCAGUCUAGGCUCUUCUUUGCAUCUUGCGCAGACCCUCGGCAGAUGCUUCCUCAGCCCGAUGAAGGGCGUUUGGGCCCGAAAGCUUGCAAAGAAGGAUUUUUGAGUUGGUCUGAUAAAAGCCUCGUGUGUUUGUGGGAGUGUGUGUACGUGGGCAGACAACAAGAAACACCAACAUCUACAACUUGUAUUAGACCACCGGAGAGAUUGCCAAAAAAUAUAUAUGUUUCUGGAUGCCGCUGCUCCCUUUUUUGCCACUGGAUGUCACUUGAGCCGGCUGCCACAAGCAAGCGGUGUUAGUGUUAUAGCCCAGAAAGUCCACAUGCAAGAAUAAAGGUUUUUUUAGUGAUCUCUUUUAUGGCCCACUUCUACAGGGAGAGGGAAAUCAGACAAGCUAUUCGACACCGAGUGCCCUUCCUCAGGUCUGGGACAGAAGCAGCUACAGCCUAAGCUAAAUACCAGGGUCAAAAUUAAUUGCUAAACACCGAGCACCAAAGGUUUUGAUGAACCGAGAUGGCAACGCAAACAAAACGGCGCUAAACGGCACAACGAGGCUGCGCGGCCGCUGAUGCGCUGCGGUGCCAGCGUGCGCUCCCUGCUGCCAGCUGUACGAUGCCCGUGCGCGUUACAACGAAACUCGCUGAGCGCUAAGUGGAAUCAGCUAGUGAUGCCUUGGACGCCUCCAGUGGGUGUCAGCGUGUGGACUUGACUCAGGGGAGAGGCUGCUGCAGCCUGAGGCAGGAGGUCAGCAGAGCCCAGUGCAGCCUGUGCCAACUCGUGCGGGUCCCACGGAGGAGGAGGAGGAAAGAGACGGAUCACAGAGCAACACGUUGCACGGACGCGCCCCUUCCAAAUGCCUUGGUUUUGCAAAGCAAAGCCCCUUGCUGUGGGCUGUUCCUUGGAGCCUCUGCCGGGCCAUCAUGGACACGUUGCUCCAGGGCAGCCGUCCAGCAUCCUCAGCGCUCACGGGG